rnacentral:tRNA from 2 species
GGCGUUGUGGCGCAAUGGCUAGCGCAUAGAGCUUCUAACUCUAAGGCUGCGGGUUCGAGUCCCGCCAUCGCCU